AUUUUGUGACAUGCGCAGAGCAUCUCGCAAUUCCCUCUGAAUUCUGAAUUACGAGCGGGCCUCAUUUGACGCCGCACCGCAUCCCGAGCUGGUCGCUUCAGAGUUACGCAAUCGUCCACUGUUCUACAGUAUCCCUGGCUUCUAAAAUGACUGUGCUCAAAAUUACAUCAGAUCUAAAUCGAUUGGAUGAUAAUAUGAGAAUUCAAAGAUUAAUAAGAAUAAAGAAAAUCAGGAAGUACGGCUGAGAACAUUCUAUUGAAGUGUUAGGAAUCUCUUAGGAGGUAUACAUUUUGUUCAAGAACUGUGCGAUGUUUCGUAACCGGUAUAUUGCCGCCAUCUUGUGAUUGAAGAAUCAAAAUGGCGCACCAAACAGUGUUCGAUGUUUUAUAGAAAUCAAAUUAUAUCGCAAAAUUUAGUCCGGUUACGAAAUAUUAAGACUUUAAGACAAUUAUGGUGAAUUUUAUUGUGUACUUUAUUGUGUUACUAUUUGCUAAACAUAGGCAUUGUUUGUUUAACGUUGGUUCGAUUAAUUACAGUAAUUCGUGACCUUAUUUUUGAUGAUCCUAAAAGUGAAUCAUUUAGAGACUUGAAAAUUUAGUGAACAGUGUCUGUGUUUAACAUUGUUACUUAUGCUGCGCGAUCAAUUUUGUCUUGUUACAAAAUUGAUAAAUGUUUUAUGUAUGUAUUUUUUUAACUGAUGUAUUUUUUGUGUAUCUGUUAUGUUACAUGAAUUCGCCUUAGCAUUUGCAUUGACAGACGUUGACACAUGUGAGUAUAUUCUUGGUUUGUU